GGUAAAUAAACCGCACGCCAAGGUAAAUAAAGCGUACGCCGCAGUAGAUCCCGAAUAUCUUCGUGGAAAAUGGUAAAUUAUUGCCGUGUUUUUGGCUGUACCAAUCGGUCAGACCGCGAAAAACAUUUGGAGUAUUACAGACUGCCAAAAGUUAUAACUAAUCAAGGAGAACAAUGCCAAAAGUUGUCAGAGGAAAGGAGGCGCUUGUGGUUAGCGAAGCUGAACCAGGAUCUACGUGGCAAAAAUCUGGACAACGUCCGAAUUUGUUCGGCCCAUUUCUUGUCAGGUAAAAGGUCUGACCUUUAUCAAAAGGAUGACCCAGAUUGGGUGCCAUCUGUCGGAAUGACAGGUCAGCAAAGGUCUCCUGAAAAAGCUGGGACAUCAUCACGCUACAGCCGUCGUGGGAAUAGAACCCAGCAGAGACUGAGAGAAGCUGCUGCUGAUGCUGCUGGAGUUGCCUCAGAGACUGAUGAUUCUGAGACUGAUGACCCAGCUUUGUUCACCUGUCUGUUGUGCUCUGGUGAACCUUUGCCCAUCCAUUGUUGAUUUUGACUGAAGAAUAUUUUUAUAUGCACUUUGUCAAUAAAAAGACUAUAUAGCCUAAAAUUA